AUUGAACGCUGGCGGCAUGCCUUACACAUGCAAGUCGAACGGUAACGGGCCUUCGGGUGCCGACGAGUGGCGAACGGGUGAGUAAUGCAUCGGAACGUACCUUCAGUGGGGGAUAACGUAGCGAAAGUUACGCUAAUACCGCAUAUUCUGUGAGCAGGAAAGCAGGGGAUCGCAAGACCUUGCGCUGAUUGAGCGGCCGAUGUCAGAUUAGCUAGUUGGUGAGGUAAAGGCUCACCAAGGCGACGAUCUGUAGCGGGUCUGAGAGGAUGAUCCGCCACACUGGAACUGAGACACGGUCCAGACUCCUACGGGAGGCAGCAGUCGAGAAUAGUCUACAAUGGCCGAAAGGCUGAUAGUGCGACGCCGCGUGAACGAAGAAGCCCUUCGGGGUGUAAAGCCCUGUUGUAUGGGAAGAGCGGAAGACGGUACCAUACGAGGAAGCCCCGGCAAACUACGUG
rnacentral:rRNA from 1 species